AAAUAGAAUGGCAAUCCGUAUCAAUUAUCUCAUUUUUGCCUUUGCAAUUAUGUCUAUUGCUUCUGUCAUUGUUGAAGGUAACAAAUAUCCAAUAUUUUUAAUUUUUUUAAUGCAAAAAAAUUGUCUAGUAUAAUAACUAACAUUACCAAUUUGCGUUAUAUUGAUUGUAGGAGGAGUAGUUGAUUUGGCAGACGGCGGAAAUUGUUUUCUCGUGCAAACAUGUCCAUCAAAUGAUGCAUGCUCCAAAUUUUGUAUAGACCAAAGGGGCUUCCCUAAAGGUGGUCAAUGUUUAGGCACAACAAUAUGUUGUUGCACACCAUAAGUUAUUACUUGUACUUUUUCAAUCACUUUGUAAAAGUAUAUGUACGACAAUAAGUUGAAACAUCAAUAUAGUAUUUCAAUUCAAGAUAAUAAUAUUG
rnacentral:lncRNA from 1 species